CCUGCGUUAGAUUAGCUAGUUGGUGGGGUAAAGGCCUACCAAGGCGACGAUCUAUAGCUGGUCUGAGAGGACGAUCAGCCACACUGGGACUGAGACACGGCCCAGACUCCUACGGGAGGCAGCAGUGGGGAAUAUUGGACAAUGGGCGAAAGCCUGAUCCAGCAAUACCGCGUGUGUGAAGAAGGCCUUCGGGUUGUAAAGCACUUUCAAUUGGGAGGAAAACCUACCGGUCAAUACCCGGUAGCUUGACAUUACCUUUAGAAGAAGCACCGGCUAACUCC
rnacentral:rRNA from 1 species